AUUAAGACCUUGGAGACAGAAAUGCUAUGCUUAUCCACAAGACAAAUUCAGUACUGCCAAGAGCUGUGCAACUUUUCUCAAACAAUGUUGCUCAACUAUGACUUGAAAGGACCACAAUUAGGGGCAGGAGAAUAGUUUAAUUUCGAUGCCCAUUCAAUCCUUGGCUUCU
ensembl:misc_RNA